GAUGAACGCUGGCGGCGUGCCUAAUACAUGCAAGUCGAGCGAACAGACGAGGAGCUUGCUCCUCUGACGUUAGCGGCGGACGGGUGAGUAACACGUGGAUAACCUACCUAUAAGACUGGGAUAACUUCGGGAAACCGGAGCUAAUACCGGAUAAUAUAUUGAACCGCAUGGUUCAAUAGUGAAAGACGGUUUUGCUGUCACUUAUAGAUGGAUCCGCGCCGCAUUAGCUAGUUGGUAAGGUAACGGCUUACCAAGGCAACGAUGCGUGGCCGACCUGAGAGGGUGAUCGGCCACACUGGAACUGAGACACGGUCCAGACUCCUACGGGAGGCAGCAGUAGGGAAUCUUCCGCAAUGGGCGAAAGCUUGACGGAGCAACGCCGCGUGAGUGACGAAGGUCUUCGGAUCGUAAAACUCUGUUAUUAGGGAAGAACAAAUGUGUAAGUAACUAUGCACGUCUUGACGGUACCUAAUCAGAAAGCCACGGCUAACUACGUG
rnacentral:rRNA from 1 species